rnacentral:rRNA from 1 species
UACGUAGGGUGCGAGCGUUAAUCGGAAUUACUGGGCGUAAAGUGUGCGCAGGCGGCCGAGCAAGUCGAGUGUGAAAGCCCCGGGCUUAACUUGGGAAUUGCGCUCGAAACUACUUGGCUGGAGUGUGGCAGAGGAAGGUGGAAUUCCACGUGUAGCGGUGAAAUGCGUAGAGAUGUGGAGGAGCACCGAUGGCGAAGGCAGCCUCCUGGGCCAACACUGACGCUCAUGCACGAAAGCGUGGGGAGCAAACAGG